AGUGAACGCUGGCGGUAGGCCUAACACAUGCAAGUCGAACGGCAGCACAGUAAGAGCUUGCUCUUACGGGUGGCGAGUGGCGGACGGGUGAGGAAUACAUCGGAAUCUACUUUUUCGUGGGGGAUAACGUAGGGAAACUUACGCUAAUACCGCAUACGACCUACGGGUGAAAGCAGGGGAUCUUCGGACCUUGCGCGAUUGAAUGAGCCGAUGUCGGAUUAGCUCGUUGGCGGGGUAAAGGCCCACCAAGGCGACGAUCCGUAGCUGGUCUGAGAGGAUGAUCAGCCCCACUGGAAUUGAGACACGGUCCAGACUCCUACGGGAGGCAGCAGUGGGGAAUAUUGGACAAUGGGCGCAAGCCUGAUCCAGCCAUACCGCGUGGGUGAAGAAGGCCUUCGGGUUGUAAAGCCCUUUUGUUGGGAAAGAAAAGCAGCAGGUUAAUACCCCGCUGUUCUGACGGUACCCAAAGAAUAAGCACCGGCUAACUUCGUG
rnacentral:rRNA from 1 species